rnacentral:rRNA from 1 species
GGAAACGGGGAUUAAUACUCCAUGGUAUCAUGAAUUCGCAUGUUUUUAUGAUUAAAGUAUUACGGUAUGAGAUGGGCAUGCGUCCCAUUAGCUAGUUGGUGAGGUAACGGCUCACCAAGGCGACGAUGGGUAGGGGGCCUGAGAGGGUGGUCCCCCACACUGGUACUGAGACACGGACCAGACUCCUACGGGAGGCAGCAGUGAGGAAUAUUGGUCAAUGGAGGCAACUCUGAACCAGCCAUGCCGCGUGAAGGAUGACGGCCCUAUGGGUUGUAAACUUCUUUUAUAGAGGAAGAAACUUGUCUACGUGUAGGCAACUGACGGUACUCUACGAAUAAGGAUCGGCUAACUCCGUGCCAGCAGCCGCGGUAAUACGGAGGAUCCAAGCGUUAUCCGGAUUCAUUGGGUUUAAAGGGUCCGUAGGCGGGUCUUUAAGUCAGUGGUGAAAGCCGACAGCUCAACUGUCGAACUGCCAUUGAUACUGGAGACCUUGAGUACAAAUGAAGUAGGCGGAAUGAGUCAUGUAGCGGUGAAAUGCAUAGAUAUGACUCAGAACACCGAUUGCGAAGGCAGCUUACUAACAUGUAACUGACGCUGAGGGACGAAAGCGUGGGGAGCGAACAGGAUUAGAUACCCUGGUAGUCCACGCCGUAAACGAUCAUCACUCGCUGUUGGCGAUAUACUGUCAGCGGCCAAGCGAAAGUAUUAAGUGAUGCACCUGGGGAGUACGCCGGCAACGGUGAAACUCAAAGGAAUUGAC